UGCUUCUAAUGGCAAGGGCGGUGGAUGGUUGGGUACGUAUUUAUCGUGUUGGUGAAGUAUCGCUCCAGAGAUAUCCAAAUGGUGGAGCGACGCCGUGAAGCUUCCGAUGCGAUGGCCGAUAGAGAGAUGAAAGCGGCGGCGCGAUGUCCACCGGAGUCCGAGACUGACGAGGGCGAAGAAGAAAGAGGACGUUAUGGCAGCGAUAGAGGCCCAAGGCCGAAGAACAAGCGUUCGGGUUGCGCUUCUCUGUUGAUUCCGCAUCUGGCGCUCCCAUGAGUUCCAUUAUCGGGUUAGAAUGUUUGAAUGAAUGACGCGGGAAGCAUCCUGCUGUAUCGCGAUCUGUGCUUGAGGAACGCCAGAGUUAAUGGAAUUUGGGAGCUUCAUGUGGUGUUUAUGAUCUCCCUUGUUGGGCUAGGGUUUGAGUUCCAUCUCCAAAAUUUUCAAAUUUUCAUGUGUUUAUUGAAGGUUUGCGAUGGCACUUAAUAGGUUUUGCCAAAUUUUCGUACUAUUUAUCAAAGCUAAGAUAUCUUAAUGUUAAAUUUUCAAUAUUCGAUUUUGGUAUAUUCUUUAUAUCCUGGCGAGAUACCAGUCGCGGGAGGGAAUUUAUCACACUUCCUUUUAAUACUUAACUAUUGCUAACUUAAGGAGUUGGACUCUUUCCUAUAAGAUCUAUCUCAGCCAGAAAGGUAGUUGUUGCCAUGGACGGUGGGCAUUCCUUUUGUGACCCGAGGAGAGGAAGAAUCAAUUAUUAAAUUCAAAUCUUUAGUUAUUAGUUAGAUUAAUCAUAUACUGUUUUAAUUAUUCUUCCCUAACUCCUAGAGCGCUUGAGCACAUAAGCUUAAACCCAUAGUUUCGUUUUUGUUUUGAAUUCUUCCCCGGAGUUUCGUUUUUGCAUUUGUCACGCAAAUCAUAAAAUGAUCUUUCAUCUUCAAUUGUUCUCCUUUUUACUCAUACUCAAGAGCUUUCAAGAAAGGAUCUUAGGCCCCGGAGACCGGCGAGGCAGGUUCCAUAGCGAAGCACUAUUGGGCGGAGCUCUCUUUCGAUCAAUACAUUCAUGAAAUAUUCGAGUGAGAAGAAAGGGAGAAGAUUCAUUGUUUCUAUAUAACACAAAGAUUCUGAUGAAGAUAUUCGACUAACGGAACGAAGCAGUGAAAUAAAUAAAUAAAUAAUGAUUCAAAAAAUACACGUAGAAAGAAUCAGAACAGAUUAUAGUAAUUGCGUGAAUGGCAUGUGCCAUUCACUCUAACCCUAUCCCUACCCUAAAUAUUUGACCUAACGAGCUAUCUAAUGAUACGCCAGCAAAUUACAGCGUGAAUGACUAUUCAAAACUAGGAAAGAUCUGACCUUGCCAUACUAACUUAAAGCGAUCCCGUCGUUACACUUGACCCUAACUUUAUUUGAGCCCUUCGGUUCUCCUUCAAUUCUGGCCCUACUCAGGACUUUAAGAUCCGGCUCCUUGGUUUAAUCUGUUCUUGUUGCUGCUGGCUCCGCUACUUUCAUUCCAGUAGCUAGACGAGUUAAAUCAGUUCCGGUUGCGUAAGUAGUUGCUUUCCGUUGCAGCUUGUGUUUCAUAAGCUUAAUCGUAGGUGAAAGAUGGUUUUUAUUCGUCCCUCCCCAUUGCUCGAGCCCUUUUAAUCAUUUGAGUUAUUGUCCUCGUCCCGGCGAACUAUAGGUGCUACGCCUGAUCACUGAACUCAAAUUGGAACAGAACUCGUAAGGAUUCCCCGGUACAAGCUUUAUAAUGAAUCUUGUCCACUCCUCAAAGUCGAGUUACCGAGCGUAAAAGGUUGUUCGUUCCUCUCUUCUCUUGCGUAUCCGAUAAGUCGAGUGUAUUCCCCCUGUCGUUCUCACUCGACCCUUGACUUCUAAGCCUCAAACCGGAAUUAAGCUACACCUAUCCUGCAACUCAAUAUAAAAAGUGCCUACCUUCUUUCUUUCCUAGAACUGCAGCAGCAGCUUCUUGCGUUGAGAAUUCCUGAAGUUGAUUAUAAGUUGCCAUGAAUGGCAUCUUGUUUGAUUCUUUACCUGUUGCUAAAGGAGCUACGCCAACUGGUGCCUAGCCUGAGGAUAAAAACACAGGCACCAGCUUCUUUGAGUCCUGAGCCCGAGUCCGUAGAAGCUAAUCCUAUAGUGGAAUAGGACCUUCCCUAAUUCCCACCCACGGGAACAGAGGCUAUUUCAAUUUUCCUCAAACACAGGUGCUAGGACAACUGAAGCUACUGCUGCUAAUAUAUAUAAGGCAUAAACAACAGGACUCUUUCCAUGAACUCACUCUUUAUCUGUUAAUGGAAUCUCUUUCAACAGGUGCGGUGCCUUAUUGAAUUGAACCCAUAUUGAGCAGCUGCUGGCAAUAUAACUUAUAAUGAUAGUUCACUCGUUCCUUUCACCCAAUGGUCGAGUGUAAAUAAGGAACGAAGCCUCUUAAGAACUCUAACCCCGCUGCUACCGAAUCAGAAAGGAAAGAAAAAACUAUCAAACCGGAAACAACAACAGGAGCUGCAGCCUUUGAUCUUCAUUGCCUACCGCGGAGAGAGUAUAAUGAAUAUAUGGCAUAUAACCAUCUCAGUAUCUUAUCUUUCCCUUGUACGCAGGUGGAGUCCUUGAAGUCCGGAAAAGAAAAGAUACGGUGAGAUAAACAAUGAGAACUAGAUUAAUGCCAUACUUUGAGCUUCAUGAAAUGCUACUAGUCUGUGCCCAUCCAGCUUUCAGCUAUUAGACGAAUUUUAUCUUAGUAAAAUCUUUUUAUCAGUCGAUGAUGGUGGAUGUUUAGGCAUCCUUGUCCAACUGUUUGUUUAAGUGAAAGAAUCAAGAUGCCAAUGGUGCUUGGAUCUUUGCAUAUUGAAGAAAAUGACACAUUAGGCACUAUGAUGUGUAUAUUUUGACUUAGGCAUAAUGAGGCUAUGAUAAUGUUUGGGAUGUGUUUGUCCAAUGGAAGUAGCAUAUAUAUCUGUAGGGGGUUGGUAAAAAUUGUUGUUAUGAGAAAAUUAAGUCGAAUAGUUUCACUGAAGACUGUAAAAGUAGCAUAUAUUGAAAACUUUUUUAUUUGGUACUGAAUGUGCUUUGAUUUUUGGACGUCCAUAUAGAAGUAAAUUCUUGUGUUCCCUAUGGUAAUUUUCUCCAAGAAUUAUAUUUAUUUAGUAAGAAUGUUUAUGGACUAACUUCCUCAUUAUAGCAGCACAUUAAGAGAAAUAGCGUAAGGGAAUACAAUGGUAGUGAUAAAAUUGCAAAAUUUGUUUUUUUAUUAAAGUGUUUACUUGUCCAAUCAUUUCUUUGAUUUAUGGAUUUGAGUGUCCAUGUUGAUGAAUGAUUAUUGGUUACUUUGAGUGUCCUCACUUCAGGAUCUGGCUUAAUGAAGAAGAAAGGAUUUAAGGGAUCCUUAGCUGAUAUGGGAUAGUCCUCUAAGUUUUAGCUGGUGUUCAUAGUUUCGUUGCAUGUCUUCUAAAGAGAUUCAGAGGAAAGGAUGAUGUUUGCAGCUAUUAAUGCAGGCAAAGCUGGGUGGAAUGAAAACUAAGAUCUUGUAUGAGUGGAGAACAACCUUUCCUACGGAUUUUACAUAACCAUGUUGCACAAGUUGCAUCCCCACUUCAGAAGAUACAGCUUCUUGCUUAGGUUCAAUGCUUUGCAACAAUACAACAUGGUUCACCAGGAGUCCUGCUUCAGAGUUGCCUCAGCUUUGGAACAUUCUCAUGUCUCAUCCAGGGACUCAAUAAAAAUCAGGAUGCAGUCACUCUUCCUCGCAUGGCCAGUCAACACCUUUAUUGGACGCACUGCUAACUUGUCCGUCUGUCAUCGAAUUUACUAUAGAAUCUACAAUUGUCAUGAUCUUAAUUGUCACACCAUGAAAAACUGCAAACAAUUCUUACAUAGGGUUAUUACA